rnacentral:rRNA from 1 species
UACGGAGGGUGCGAGCGUUAAUCGGAGUUACUGGGCGUAAAGGGCGCGUAGGCGGUUUUAAGGGUGUGAUGUGAAAGCCCUGGGCUUAACCUGGGAAGUGCAUCGCAAACCAUAAGACUGGAGUACAAGAGAGGGUGGCGGAAUUUCCGGUGUAGCGGUGAAAUGCGUAGAGAUCGGAAGGAACGUCGAUGGCGAAGGCAGCCACCUGGCUUGAUACUGACGCUGAAGCGCGAAAGCGUGGGGAGCGAACAGG